rnacentral:rRNA from 1 species
GACGAACGCUGGCGGCGUGCUUAACACAUGCAAGUCGGACGGAAAGGCCCUGCUUUUGUGGGGUGCUCGAGUGGCGAACGGGUGAGUAACACGUGAGUAACCUGCCCUUGACUUUGGGAUAACUUCAGGAAACUGGGGCUAAUACCGGAUAGGAGCUCCUGCUGCAUGGUGGGGGUUGGAAAGUUUCGGCGGUGGGGGCUGGACUCGCGGCUUAUCAGCUUGUUGGUGGGGUAGUGGCAUACCAAGGCUUUGACGGGUAGCCGGCCUGAGAGGGUGACCGGCGACCAUGGGACUGCGGUACGGACCAGACUGCUACGGGAGGCAGCAGUGGGGAAUAUUGCACAACGGGCGGGAGCCUGAUGCAGCAACGCCGCGUGCGGGAUGACGGCCUUCUGGUUGUAAACCGCUUUCGCCGGUGACGAGGCGUGAGUGACGGUAAUGGGUAAGGAAGCACCGGCUAACUACGUG